rnacentral:lncRNA from 1 species
AAGGGCAGAGAGGCUGUUUUCAAUCGACCCUCGGCGCAUAGGAUAAAAGGAAAAACAACAGUAAAACAAAAACAAAGACAAAAACAAAAACAAAAACAUUAGAGCAUUAGUAACUCCCGCAGAAAUAGCGUAAAUAAUUAUCUAGACAUAAGAAACAUAAAUAUAAUCGCAUGCAAUAAUAUCAUACAGUAACUACCAUAACCAACAACCAUAGGGGGGACAUAAGCUAAAACACAAAUCAUCUAUGGGUAACCCUUCUGACCCACACCCAACCCCGGAUGAGGCGUACGAAGAACUCUAGGAGCCCCUAACCUACAACCCUGAUUCUAGACCUCCAGACUCUCCUAUCAAGU